UACGUAGGGUGCAAGCGUUAAUCGGAAUUACUGGGCGUAAAGCGUGCGCAGGCGGUCCUUUAAGUCUGAUGUGAAAGCCCACGGCUCAACCGUGGAGGGUCAUUGGAAACUGGGGGACUUGAGUGCAGAAGAGGAAAGCGGAAUUCCACGUGUAGCGGUGAAAUGCGUAGAGAUGUGGAGGAACACCAGUGGCGAAGGCGGCUUUCUGGUCUGUAACUGACGCUGAGGCGCGAAAGCGUGGGGAGCAAACAGG
rnacentral:rRNA from 1 species